rnacentral:rRNA from 1 species
GUAGGGAAUAUUGGGCAAUGGAUGCAAGUCUGACCCAGCCAUCCCGCGUGCCGGAAGAAGGUCCUCAGGGUUGUAAACGGCUUUUGACGGUGAAGAAUCGACAGGAUGCGUCCUGUUUUGACGGUAGCCGUUGAAUAAGCACCGGCUAACUCCGUGCCAGCAGCCGCGGUAAUACGGAGGGUGCGAGCGUUGUCCGGAUUUAUUGGGUUUAAAGGGUGCGUAGGCUGGAAGGUCAGUCAGCGGUGAAAAGCUGUCGCUUAACGAUAGUCUUGCCGCAGAUACUUCCUUUCUUGGAUGAGGAGGAGGCCACUGGAACGGAUGGUGUAGCGGUGAAAUGCAUAGAUAUCAUCCAGAACACCGAUUGCGAAGGCAGGUGGCUGUACCUUAAUCGACGCUGAUGCACGAAAGCAUGGGGAGCAAACAGGAUUAGAAACCCUAGUAGUCC